UUAGCUCAGGUUCUAAGUUCAUUAACCAAUCUACAUUAGCAACUUAUCCUAAACAAACAUAGUUUCCAAACAAUUUAAAGAACAAGCUUCAAGGUUCACAUCAUCAUCAUAAUCCAUCUUUACUCAGUGUAGCAUAGCAAUCAAGUAGUCUCAAUCUGUGAGAGGCAGACAAAUCAAUUCGAAUUUCUUAACCAUGCAUGGCAAACCUAAUCUCACAACAUCCGCGCACCACAGAGGGUCCCUUCCUGUGUCG
rnacentral:lncRNA from 1 species